ensembl:miRNA microRNA 1191
UGGAACCAGCCUGGUCUACAUAGCAACAUCUAAGCCAGCCAGGGCUACAUAGUGAGAACCUGUCUCAAAAGCAAAACAGCAGUCUUACUAUGUAGCCCUAGAUGGCCUAGAACUCCCUAU